UACGGGGGGGGCAAGCGUUGUUCGGAAUUACUGGGCGUAAAGGGCUCGUAGGUGGCCAACUAAGUCAGACGUGAAAUCCCUCGGCUUAACCGGGGAACGGCGUCUGAUACUGGAUGGCUUGAGUUUGGGAGAGGGAUGCGGAAUUCCAGGUGUAGCGGUGAAAUGCGUAGAUAUCUGGAGGAACACCGGUGGCGAAGGCGGCAUCCUGGACCAACACUGACGCUGAGUGAGCGAAAGCCAGGGGAGCAAACGGG
rnacentral:rRNA from 1 species